rnacentral:rRNA from 1 species
ACGGGGUGCAGCAGGCGCGAAACCUUUGCAAUGUGCGCAAGCACGACAAGGUUAAUCCGAGUGUUUCCUGCUAAAGGAAUCUUUUGUUAGUUCUAAAACCACUGAUGAAUAAGGGGUGGGCAAGUUCUGGUGUCAGCCGCCGCGGUAAAACCAGCACCUCAAGUGGUCAGGAGGAUUAUUGGGCCUAAAGCAUCCGUAGCCGGUUCUGUAAGUUUCCGGUUAAAUCCACUAGCUCAACUAAUGGGCUGCCGGAAAUACUGCAGAACUAGGGAGUGGGAGAGGUAGACGGUACUCGGGAGGAAGGGGUAAAAUCCUUUGAUCUCUUGAUGACCACCUGUGGCGAAGGCGGUCUACCAGAACACGUUCGACGGUGAGGGAUGAAAGCUGGGGGAGCAAACCGGAUUAGAUACCCGGGUAGUCCCAGCUGUAAACGAUGCAGACUCGGUGAUGCACUGGCUUUUGGCCAGUGCAGUGCCGCAGGGAAGCCGUUAAGUUUGCCGCCUGGGAAGUACGUACGCAAGUAUGAAACUUAAAGGAAUUGGCGGGGGAGCAC